AACGCGAAGAACCUUACCCGGGUUUAAAUUGCAGUGGUUGUAGUCGUCAGAGAUGAUGGCGAGGGGGCAACCCCGCUGCUGUGAAGGUGCUGCAUGGCUGUCGUCAGCUCGUGCCGUGAGGUGUUGGGUUAAGUCCCGCAACGAGCGCAACCCUUAUCUUUAGUUGCCAGCAUGUUAUGGUGGGCACUCUGGAGAGACUGCCGACACAAGUCGGAGGAAGGUGGGGAUGACGUCAAGUCAGCAUGGCCCUUACGUCCGGGGCUACACACGUGCUACAAUGGCCGGUACAACGGGCAGCGAGACCGCGAGGUGGAGCGAAUCCCUUUAAAGCCGGCCUCAGUUCGGAUUGCAGGCUGCAACUCGCCUGCAUGAAGUUGGAAUCACUAGUAACCGCAGAUCAGCUACGCUGUGGUGAAUACGUUCCCGGGCCUUGUACACACCGCACGA
rnacentral:rRNA from 1 species